UACGUAGGGGGCUAGCGUUGUCCGGAAUCAUUGGGCGUAAAGCGCGUGUAGGCGGCCCGGUAAGUCCGCUGUGAAAGUCGGGGGCUCAACCCUCGAAGGCCGGUGGAUACUGUCGGGCUCGAGUGCGGAAGAGGCGAGUGGAAUUCCUGGUGUAGCGGUGAAAUGCGCAGAUAUCAGGAGGAACACCGGUGGCGAAGGCGGAUCUCUGGGCCAGUAUUGACGCUGAGGAGCGAAAGCGUGGGUAGCAAACAGG
rnacentral:rRNA from 1 species